rnacentral:rRNA from 1 species
UACGGGGGGGGCAAGCGUUGUUCGGAAUUACUGGGCGUAAAGGGCUCGUAGGUGGCCAACUAAGUCAGACGUGAAAUCCCCUCGGCUCAACCGGGGAACUGCGUCUGAUACUGGAUGGCUUGAAUCCGGGAGAGGGAUGCGGAAUUCCAGGUGUAGCGGUGAAAUGCGUAGAUAUCUGGAGGAACACCGGUGGCGAAGGCGGCAUCCUGGACCGGUACUGACGCUGAGGUGCGAAAGCGUGGGGAGCAAACAGG